rnacentral:rRNA from 1 species
UUGUCUACUAACUAUAGACCUGUAUGAAAGGCAAAAUGAGGGUCUAACUGUCUCUUAUAAUAAAUCAAUGAAACUGAUCUCCCAGUCAAAAAGCUGGAAUUAACCCACAAGACCAGAAGACCCUGUGAAGCUUAAACUAAACUAUUAAACCCCAUAAUAGCUACUUUCGGUUGGGGCGACCUUGGAAAUAAAAAGAACUUCCAAACCAAAUGACUACACUCAUACAAACUAGGCCCACAAGCCAAUGAAUGACCCAGUACAGCUGACAAUUGAACCAAGUUACUCCAGGGAUAACAGCGCAAUCUUCUUCAAGAGCCCAUAUCAGAAAGAAGGUUUACGACCUCGAUGUUGGAUCAGGACAUCCUAAUGGUGCAGCAGCUAUUAAGGGUUCGUUUGUUCAACGAUU